rnacentral:rRNA from 1 species
AUUGAACGCUGGCGGCAGGCCUAACACAUGCAAGUCGAGCGGAUGAGUGGAGCUUGCUCCAUGAUUCAGCGGCGGACGGGUGAGUAAUGCCUAGGAAUCUGCCUGGUAGGGGGGGAUAACGUUCCGAAAGGAACGCUAAUACCGCAUACGUCCUACGGAAGAAAGCAGGGGACCUUCGGGCCUCGCGCUAUCAGAUGAGCAUAGGUCGGAUUAGCUAGUUGGUGAGGUAAUGGCUCACGAAGGCGGCGAUCCGUGACUGGGCUGAUAGGAUGAUCAGUAACGCUAGAACUAGGACACGGUCCGGAAUCCUACGGGAGGCAGCAGUGGGGAAUAUUGGACAAUGGGCGAAAGCCUGAUCCAGCCAUGCCGCGUGUGUGAAGAAGGUCUUCGGAUUGUAAAGCACUUUAAGUUGGGAGGAAGGGCAUUAACCUAAUACGUUAGUGUUUUGACGUUACCGACAGAAUAAGCACCGGCUAACUUCGUGCCAGCCGCCGCCGUAAAAC